rnacentral:rRNA from 1 species
AGUGAACGCUGGCGGUAGGCCUAACACAUGCAAGUCGAACGGCAGCACAGUAAGAGCUUGCUCUUACGGGUGGCGAGUGGCGGACGGGUGAGGAAUACAUCGGAAUCUACUUUUUCGGGGGGGAUAACGUAGGGAAACUUACGCUAAUACCGCAUAUGACCUACGGGUGAAAGCAGGGGAUCUUCGGACCUUGCGCGAUUGAAUGAGCCGAUGUCAGAUUAGCUAGUUGGCGGGGUAAAGGCACACCAAGGCGACGAUCCGUAGCUGGUCUGAGAGGAUGAUCGGCCACACUGGAACUGAGACACGGUCCAGACUCCUACGGGAGGCAGCAGUGGGGAAUAUUGGACAAUGGGCGCAAGCCUGAUCCAGCCAUACCGCGUGGGUGAAGAAGGCCUUCGGGUUGUAAAGCCCUUUUGUUGGGAAAGAAAAGCUGCAGGUUAAUCCCCCGCUGUUCUGACGGUACCCAAAGAAUAAGCACCGGCUAACUUCGUG